GCGGAUGUAGUUUAGUGGUAAAACCUCAGCUUCCCAAGCUGAAGUCGAGGGUUCGAUUCCCUUCAUCCGCUCCA
rnacentral:tRNA from 3 species